CCUACGGGUGGCUGCAGUGGGGAAUAUUGGACAAUGGGCGAAAGCCUGAUCCAGCCAUGCCGCGUGUGUGAAGAAGGCCUUCGGGUUGUAAAGCACUUUCAGUGGGGAAGAAAGCCUUGGGGCUAAUACCCUCGAGGAAGGACAUCACCCACAGAAGAAGCACCGGCUAACUCCGUGCCAGCAGCCGCGAUAAUACGGAGGGUGCGAGCGUUAAUCGGAAUUACUGGGCGUAAAGCGCGCGUAGGCGGUCUGAUAAGCCGGUUGUGAAAGCCCCGGGCUCAACCUGGGAACGGCAUCCGGAACUGUCAGGCUAGAGGGCAGGAGAGGAAGGUAGAAUUCCCGGUGUAGCGGUGAAAUGCGUAGAGAUCGGGAGGAAUACCAGUGGCGAAGGCGGCCUUCUGGACUGACACUGACGCUGAGGUGCGAAAGCGUGGGUAGCAAACAGGAUUAGAUACCCUAGUAGU
rnacentral:rRNA from 1 species